rnacentral:rRNA from 1 species
AUGGCCGACGCCCCGCCGAAUUCCGGCGGCCUGGUCGUCGACCCGCCCGGAAAGGUGAAGAAGAAGGCGGCCAAGGGUCCAAGGAAGCCGCGGUCGGAAUGCACGCCGGAGGAGCUCGCAAAGAUCGACGCGAAAUCGGCGAAGAGGAGGAACCGGAGGGCGGUCGUCAAGGGCAAGAACGCCGCGCCCAAGUUCGCCACCGAGCGUGAUGCGGUGGAGGCCGCGCGGCGCAAGGCCGAGGUCGACGAGAAGGAGGACAUCGUCAACAAAGUGCACGCCCUUCUCAUCCUUGGGCUUUGCCGUCCGGCGGGUUUCUCCGGUGCGGUCGUCGGCCUGGCGAGCACAGGCUCGUCGGUCGCCAGGCCUCCCCACUGCCCGUCGCGGGCCAUCCCGGCUUUCCCCCGCCAAGGCACGAUGGCCAGACCCGUUUUUCGUGGUCGCCGGACCAAGCACGACCACCGUUUACGGGCACCAUGUCGUCGCCCCCGCGUCCUGUUCGACGAAAUGCCAACACCAACGCCAACGGCCGACGACCCCUUCUACAACCAGUUCAUGAAGAAUGUGAUCUACGAGGGUGGGCAUGACGGUGCCUACGAUCCCGACGAGACCCAAAGUGAUGGUGAUGAAGAAGGCAUUGAUAUUGGUAUUGGGGCCGAGCCAUUGUUUAUCGACGAGCUCACCCAAAGAGCGGAAGCACAAAAGAGGAAAAAGAGCAUUCGCACGGGUUCAUAUUCACAAGAAGAGGACAAGUUGAUUUGCCAAUGUUGGAUGGAGAUUAGUCAAGAUCCGAGGACCGAAUGCAACAAGUAUUGUGUCGCACUUGAGAGCGUUGAAGCACAGCCCGUGAGUGGUCUCGGCAUUGGGGACAUGGCAUUUCGAUCUUUGGAAGCAUUCAAGGCCCGGCGCAAUGACAAGCCAUUCACUCUUACGCAUUGUUGGACGAUCAUCAACAAUUGCCCCAAGUUCAAGGAUCAAUACCGUGAACUUCAAAGGAAGAGGGGCAAAAAGACGGCCGCAUUGGCCGAAGGUGGAGAUGGUGAGGCGUUGAAGAGGACAAGGGGCAAGACCAACUCCAAGGUGGACGACAUACGUGAUGCGUCAUCCAUAGCCUUGCAUGAGACGUUGCACGACAUGAUGUCUCAAAAGGAUGUGAGGGACGAGAAAAAGCGACAAAGUAAGGACGAGCAAAUGAAGCAAUACCUAGAGCUUCAAAGGAAGAAGCUUGAGAUGGAGGAGGCGGCCAAGAAGAGGAAGAUUGACAUGGAGGAGGCGUCCCGGCAAAGGCAGCUCGACAUCGAGGCCGCCAAUGUCACGGCCACGCAGAGGCAGCUCGACAUCGAGGCCACCAAUGCCGCAACCAAAGCAAAGGAGGUGGCCCUUGCGAUCAUGAGCGUGGACUUGACCAAGAUGAGCGAGAAGACGAGGAGCUGGUUGUCUGAUCGGCCGUGGCCGUUCUUUUUGGAGGCUGGCAUGGGUGCCGGCCGCUGGGCCGCUGGCUGUGUGCCGGCGAGAAACAUAUUCAUUUUGGGGGCUGGCUGUGUUGCCGGCGACAAACCUAUUCAUUUUGUAGGUUGGCUCUAUUGUCGGCUGCUGGCUGUGUUGCCGACAAGGACGUAUAGGCCGCUGGCUGUGUUGCCGGCGAUGACGUGUAGGCCGCUGGCUCUAUUGCCGGCGUGCUCGGCCGUCCCAUGCCUGGCCAUCCAAACAACCAAGGUGGAAAUUUUGGGAAGCACAAAAUGGGUCAUCGUCCUCGCGCCCGAGGACAAAUGGCUACGGUUUGGGCACGUCGGCACAGGGCGAGCAAAGCGGUGGGCACGCGUAGAAGAUCCCGUGGAAGCAAAGACUAGUGCGGACCGAGGCCAUCGCGGCAACACGGGGGCGCCAACCGCCCAAUGUCAUUGGAACCCCCCAGCACCAACCAAAUAUUUCUCCUCCUCGAGCCCGCGGCCCCCACCCACUUGGGCUUGCAUUUGCACAGGCCAGGAAGGAAGCAUCGCCCCUCCUCUAUAUAAGCGCCCCGGCAGUGUCCGCUCUCCUCUGCUACUCCCUACCAGGCUACCAUUCCUCCUCGCCGCCGCAUAUCGACAUCGACCGACGGACGUCCAGUUUAGCAGCAGGAUCUACACCGCGGACUCCGCCAGCUCAACCACCGCCCGCGCACCUCCGGCGUACGGCGGCAGAUACGGUGGUCGCCUGUCCAGGGAGAGGGAGGGUUCCAUCGAUCGAUCGACCGAGUGCCCUGCCGUUGGUUGA